GACGUAGGGCGCGAGCGUUGUCCGGAUUUAUUGGGCGUAAAGAGCUCGUAGGCGGCUUGUCGCGUCUGCCGUGAAAGUCCGGGGCUCAACUCCGGAUCUGCGGUGGGUACGGGCAGACUAGAGUGAUGUAGGGGAGACUGGAAUUCCUGGUGUAGCGGUGAAAUGCGUAGAUAUCGAGAGGAACACCUGCGGCGAAGGCGGGUUGCUGGGCUGACACUGACGCUGAUGCGCGAAAGCUAGGGGAGCGAACGGG
rnacentral:rRNA from 1 species